GACGAACGCUGGCGGCGUGCUUAACACAUGCAAGUCGAACGGGCCCGCCCCUGUUUUUGGGGGUGGGUUGAGUGGCGAACGGGUGAGUAUCACGUGAGUAACCUGCCCCCUGCUCCUGGAUAACUGCUUGAAAGGGCGGCUAAUACGGGGUGUGCCGGCUGGUCCGCAUGGGCCUGGUCGGGAUAGUUUCAUCUUCGGGUGUUUCGGUGGGGGAUGGGCUCGCGGCCUAUCAGCUUGUUGGUGGGGUGAUGGCCCACCAAGGCGGUGACGGGUAGCCGGCCUGAGAGGGUGGGCGGCCACACUGGGACUGAGACACGGCCCAGACUCCUGCGGGAGGCAGCAGGGGGGGGUAUUGCACAAUGGGCGGAAGCCUGAUGCAGCGACGUCGCGUGAGGGAUGGAGGCCUUCGGGUGGUGAACCUCUUUCUCCGGUGGUGAAGGCCCUGUCCGUUGCGGCGGGGUUGACGGUAGCCGGGUAUGAAGCGCCGGCUAACUACGUG
rnacentral:rRNA from 1 species